rnacentral:rRNA from 1 species
UACGAGGGGGGCAAAUGUUGUUCGGAAUCACUGGGCGUAAAGGGAGCGUAGGCGGGUUCUUAAGUAAGGUGUUUAAUCCCGGGGCCCAACCCCGGACCGGCACUUUAAACUGGGAAUCUUGAAUAGUGGAGAGGUCAGUGGAAUUGGGGGUGUAGCGGUGGAAUGCGUAGAGAUCCCCAAGAACACCAGUUGCGAAGGCGGCUGACUGGACACAUAUUGACGCUGAGGCUCGAAAGCAUGGGGAGCAAACGGG